rnacentral:rRNA from 1 species
AUUCCCGUUGAUCCUGCGGGAGGUCGCUGCUAGUGGAGUUCCACUCAAGGCAUGCAAGUCACAGGCUCGCAAGAGUACUGGCACAAGGCUCAGUAACACGUCGAUAAUCUGCCUUACGGUCUGGGAUAUCCUCGGGAAACUGAGGUUAAACCCGGAUAAAAACUACGCACUGGAAGGUCGUUGUUUUCAAAAGUAAUGCCGUAAGAUGAGUCGGCGGCUGAUUAGGCUGUUGGCGAGGUAACGGCUCACCAAACCUAAGAUCAGUAGGGGGGAUGGAAGUCCUAGCC